rnacentral:misc_RNA from 1 species
AAGUCGUAACAAGGUCUCCGUUGGUGAACCAGCGGAGGGAUCAUUACAGAGUUGCAAAACUCCCAAACCAUUGUAAACCUUACCGUUACCGUUGCUUCGGCGGGUGGCUCCCCUAGGGAUGCCGCGCCCUCCCUUUAGGGUCGGCAGCCCGCCAGAGGUAUACUAAACUCUCGUAUCCAUUGGCAUCUCUGAGUAACUUAUAAAAUAAGUCAAAACUUUCAACAACGGAUCUCUUGGUUCUG